rnacentral:rRNA from 1 species
GAUGAACGCUAGCUACAGGCUUAACACAUGCAAGUCGAGGGGUAACGAGAGGAAAGCUUGCUUUCCUUGUCGACGACCGGCGCACGGGUGAGUAACGCGUAUCCAACCUGCCCCCAACUAGGGAAUAACCUUGCGAAAGUAAGACUAAUACCCUAUAAUUUCCUCAGAUGACAUCUGACGAGGAAUAAAGAUUUAUCGGUUGUGGAUGGGGAUGCGUCUGAUUAGCUUGUUGGCGGGGUAACGGCCCACCAAGGCAACGAUCAGUAGGGGUUCAGAGAGGAAGGUCCCCCAAAUUGGAACUGAGACACGGUCCAAACUCCUACGGGAGGCAGCAGUGAGGAAUAUUGGUCAAUGGGCGGAAGCCUGAACCAGCCAAGUAGCGUGCAGGAUGACGGCCCUAUGGGUUGUAAACUGCUUUUAUACAGGAAUAAAGUUAGCCACGUGUGGUUAUUUGUAGGUACUGUAUGAAUAAGGACCGACUAAUUCCGUGCCAGCCGCCGCAGUAA